rnacentral:rRNA from 1 species
AUUGAACGCUGGCGGCAUGCCUUACACAUGCAAGUCGAACGGCAGCGCGGGGCAACCUGGCGGCGAGUGGCGAACGGGUGAGUAAUAUAUCGGAACGUACCCUGGAGUGGGGGAUAACGUAGCGAAAGUUACGCUAAUACCGCAUACGAUCUAAGGAUGAAAGUGGGGGAUCGCAAGACCUCAUGCUCCUGGAGCGGCCGAUAUCUGAUUAGCUAGUUGGUAGGGUAAAAGCCUACCAAGGCAUCGAUCAGUAGCUGGUCUGAGAGGACGACCAGCCACACUGGAACUGAGACACGGUCCAGACUCCUACGGGAGGCAGCAGUGGGGAAUUUUGGACAAUGGGCGCAAGCCUGAUCCAGCAAUGCCGCGUGAGUGAAGAAGGCCUUCGGGUUGUAAAGCUCUUUUGUCAGGGAAGAAACGGUGCUUUCUAAUACAGAGCGCUAAUGACGGUACCUGAAGAAUAAGCACCGGCUAACUACGUGCCAGCAGCCGCGGUAAUACGUAGGGUGCAAGCGUUAAUCGGAAUUACUGGGCGUAAAGCGUGCGCAGGCGGUUUUGUAAGUCUGUCGUGCAAUCCCCGGGCUCAACCUGGGAAUGGCGAUGGAGACUGCAA